rnacentral:rRNA from 1 species
GACGAACGCUGGCGGCGUGCUUAACACAUGCAAGUCGAACGGAAAGGCCCUGCUUUUGUGGGGUGCUCGAGUGGCAAACGGGUGAGUAACACGUGAGUAACCUGCCCUUGACUUUGGGAUAACUUCAGGAAACUGGGGCUAAUACCGGAUAGGAGCUCCUGCUGCAUGGUGGGGGUUGGAAAGUUUCGGCGGUUGGGGAUGGACUCGCAGCUUAUCAGCUUGUUGGUGGGGUAGUGGCUUACCAAGGCUUUGACGGGUAGCCGGCCUGAGAGGGUGACCGACCACAUUGGGACUGAGAUACGGCCCAGACUCCUACGGGAGGCAGCAGUGGGGAAUAUUGCACAAUGGGCGGAAGCCUGAUGCAGCAACGCCGCGUGCGGGAUGACGGCCUUCGGGUUGUAAACCGCUUUCGCCUGUGACGAAGCGUGAGUGACGGUAAUGGGUAAAGAAGCACCGGCUAACUACGUG